rnacentral:sRNA from 1 species
GGAUGAGGGAAGGGCGGCUGUGGCCCUGGGGGCGGCGGGAGCUGCUUUGCCUCCACCGAUCUCCCUGUGCGGCCCUCAUGUGCUGUGCUCGCUGACACCCGAAGUCCGCGGCUUUCCGCACACGGUGGGGUCGUCAGACCCGCUGCCCUUGGCGGUCGAAGUCGUCGUGCGGGCCCGCGGCGGCCGCCCAUGGAGAAGGCCAGGAGAGGCGGGGAUGGCGUCCCCCGGGGGCCCGUACUGCACAUCGUGGUGGUCGGAUUUCACCACAAGAAGGGCUGCCAGGAGGGAGCACACGAGCGAAUGAGGUGGGAACUGGAGUGCACGAGCACUGGAGCUGACUGGCUGCUUCAGAGCUGAUGGGAUCAAACUCCACUCAGAUCCACUGCAUUCCACCCCUCGUGGAGGGAAUGCACAGGUGAGUGGGUACAGGAGCCAAAGCAAGCGCUUUUGGGCACCGGCAGGAGCAAACUCUGUGCAGGCCCUGCAGCAACAUCUAGGUGGGGGUGCUUGUGACCCCCAAAGCCCCAGAGGGUGUGUUACAGUGUUCAUUUCGCUCUUCCAUCUGCAAACAGCUUAAGUGUUAACAGAUCAGUGGGCCCUCUGCCUUUUUGCAUGAGGCAGGUGUCCUCCACCAGGGCAGUGUGACCGCCUUUUGUAUCCACACUCGUGGCUCCCAAGCUCUUGUCCAGCGUCCAGGAAAAAUGAGGUCGCUUGAACGAAUUGAAGGGUGGUAAAUGCGGGGGAUUUUAUUGCCAAUGAAAGUGGUUCUCAGUGGAAAGGGGAGCUGAAAAAGAGAUGGGGCAGGUAGGUAAGCUUCCCCUGAAGUCCAGCCAUCUCCAACCAGAUUCUUUUCCAAAGUUAGGCCAUCAAGCUGUCCCUCUGAAGUCAAGCCACUUCUCUCCAGUGUCCAGCCAUAGUCCCUGACAUCUAGCUGUGUCUCUCUGCCAGCUGAGUCUGGGGUUUUUAUAGGCACAGGUUGGGGGCUGGGCAGGCCAUGGAGAGUUUAAUGAAAGGCAAUAUUCUAGUGGAAAAACAAGUUCUCACUUUGGGCCACGGGUUUCAGGCUUUUCCACUUCAAGGUGGUGUUUUAUUGGGGACCCACCCUUUUCUGCCUAGAAUAUCUCUACCUCCAUCCCUAUCAAUAUAUGUUGACACAAGCAAAAUGUCAUUUUAUAUAAUAGAGUCCUGAUAUUCUGUUUCACUGUGGUGGGAUUCUCAUAAUAACAAUUUCUACGUUAAAAUUAAAAUACACAUUAUCUAUUUUCAUACUCAUAAUCCAAGUACUCCAACUUAAGGAAUGUGAAAUAAUAGCUCUUUAAUUCUAGGGAAAAAAUAGAAGAUAACAGCCUUUAUUCACUUGAAUAUAUAAAAGUACAUGCUUUAAACUAAGAUACUUAUUUCCAUUUAAUUUAAAAACAAACUUCUUGAUGGGCUCAGUGACACAUGCUUGUAAUCCCAGCCCUUUGGGAGACCAGGGUGGGAAGAUUGCUUGAGCCUAGGUGUUUGAGAGCAGCCUGGGCAACGAAAAAUGAAAUAAUUAACUGGGUGCAGUGGUGCACGCCUGUAGUCCCAGCUACUCAGGCUGAAGUGGGAGGACCACUUGAGCACAGGAGGCCGAGGCUGCAGUGAGCCCUGAUCACACCAGUGCACAGCAGCUUGAGUGACAGAGCAAGACCCUGUCUCUUAAAAACAGAACAAGGCCAGGCACGGUGGCCUAUAAUCCCAGCACUUUGGGAGGCUGAGGCGGGUAGGUCACUUGAGGUCAGGAGUUCAAGACCAGCCUGGCCAACAUGAUGAAACCCCGUCUCUACUAAAAAUACAAAAAUUGGCCGGCUGUGGUGGCAGGUGCCUGUAAUCCAAGCUACUCGGGAGGCUGAGGCAGGAGAAUCGCCUAAAUCCAGGAGGUGGAAGUUUCUGUGAGCCAAGAGCAUGCCACUGCACUCCAGACUGGGCGACAGAGCCAGACUGUGUCUCAAGAAAAAUAAAAAAUAAAAAAUCUUACUUUUAAUUGGUAAGUCUCAAAAGUACCAUUUUACCUCUGCAGUAUACACUUUAUAUUUCUGAACAUCUAAUGCAGUCAUGAAAAUGUUGUCAUAUUGAGGUAUAGGAGUGUAAAGCGCAGCUGUUUCAAAUCUAUACUUGACAAAUACAGUGAUUUGUUGCCAACUUUGUAGUCGAGUGAGGAAUAAAUGCCAAUUGCUUUGUAGUAUUGACUUUUCAAGAGAUAUGAGAAAGAAACCAUAACUGAGAAGAAAACAUGUCUGAUGCCCAGGGCUUUUUCGUUUUCUUUUGUUUUAAGCAGAAAACAUGACAGAGCUUUGACUUUGCUGCCUAAAAUAUUAUGACUAUUAAGAAAAUAAAUACUUUGUGCUUCUGAGUGAAAAGAAAAAAUCUCUGAGAUACCGAGAAAGGAAGCAAAGAGGCAGAGCAGUUGUGAAGCACUCUCCUUCCUUCUGUAAGCCGUUGAUAUAUGUAGGGUCCAUGGAUGUGGUUAAUGUGUGUGCUAAUAGUUUGGCAGUGUGGCUUCUAUUUGCCGUAUGGUUCUCUGGCAGUGGAACAUAGUGCAUUGUUAAAAAGUGAACAGAGGUUAUUCCUGAAGUACUCAGAGUUCACACUAGGGUACUAUGUUACUUUGUUUUUGUAGUUUUCUUGUUUUCUCAGUCUUUUUUUCUGAGGACAAAGUAAAUGGAAUCUGACUAGAGGACACCAAUUUGGUUUAUAAACUAUGACAAAGCAUGGUAAUUUUUAUUACUGGAGGACAAACAUGUCACCCUUUCUUGCAUAGUUCAUUUAGCAUUUAGAAAAAUUGCUUUUUUAUUCCUUGUGAUCAGAGUCAGCUUUUACUUUUUAGAAAUCAGCUAUUGUCUUAUUUUUCCCUCCUCUUCUCCCUUAGUAAUCUUGUAAAUCUAAAAAUUAGAAUCAAAAUAGAUUUGGCCACAUGAAUAUUGGUUACAUACAAAGACAUAUUUGAAAUUUGUGUGAUUUAGUAGCAGCCUUUCUGGGGAUAUUUGAUACAUUUGUUAUGCAUUGUAUGUAUUAAUGCCCUACCAGACAUCUUUUUUUUUUAAGAGAAAAGCAAACAGAAGUUUAUUAACAUGAUUACCUUGUGAAUACAUGGGAGAUAACUCAGAAAUGAGAAAAUCUCAAGAGUAGAUCUCAAAGAGGUGGCUUCAACUUCAGACUUACACACUUCAUUCCCCAACACAAAGAAUGAAGGGUGUAGGCCAGACAACCCUCAUUCUCUGUUAAGACUACCUGGUGAAGAAGUGCAGGGUAAACAAAAGUGAGGUUUGUUAUGCAGAUUGAACUUGUGCUUUUUGUGUUGAUAAGAGUUUCCAGUGAUUUAGGCCUUUAAUCCCAGCACUUAGGGAGGCCAAGGCAGGUGGAUCACUUCAGGUCAGGAGUUCGAGACCAGCCUGGCCAACAUGGUGAAAACCUCAUCUCUACUGAAAAAAAUAUAAAAAUUAGCCAGGUGUGGUGGCAGGCACCAGUAAUCCCAGCUACUCGGGAGGCUGAGGCAGGAGAAUCGCUUGAAACUGGAAGGUGGAGGUUGCAGUGAGCCGAGAUCACAUCAAUGCACUCCAGCCUGGGCAACAGAGCCAGAUCCUGUCUCAAACAAAUAAAUAAAAGUUUCCAGUGAUUUAGUCAUCCUUCUCUUCCUGGUACAGAAAGGAAGACACUCUUACAAAUGUAGAUAUUCUUUACAAAAUAAAUUUCUCUUACAAAAAUAUAACUUUUACUGUUUUCAGAGCUUCUCCUGUGUCUGUUUCCCAAAAUAAUCAGUUUAAAGUAAUCCUGUGCCAAAGAGGCAUAUUUGGAAUGGCAUAUACUGGUGUCCUACAGACAUAUUUUGGGGUGUCAUGUCCUGAACUCUACAGUUGGCUCCCUCCGCCUUAUGGAAAUGUAAAUAAAAUCUUUGGAGACCAUUGGUUUCCACUGAGCUCCUUCAUCAGCUCCAACAGACCAAACCAAGUUAGAAGUCCCUCCUGCUAAAGUUCGACGUCACCAAUCUAAGUUAUCUGACCUGAGAAAUCGGGAGAAAGAGAAACAAAAGUCAAAUCCCCAAACAGGCCAGUUUUAGCUGGCAUGAUAAGGGUGUCUCCUCUGCUUUAACCCUUAAAAGGAAAGUAACUUUGAAACUACUGGUUUACUUUUUGUUCCUUAUUUCUGCUUUCUUCAGCCUUUUACCCAUCCCAAAAUACUCACUACCCACAUUGCAGAGAUGAGCUCUCUCAACUUCUUGUUCUGAAGGUUACGUGACUGGUGAAUUAUUCUUUGCUCAAAUAAACUGUUAAAUUUAUCUUGGCAGACUCUAUUUUGAUCCCCAAAUUUGAUUUAGAUUUGGGGCCAUUAAAUUUCACUAUUUAAUAAUAACCCUACUGGAUGAGAAUAAGUGUUUCUCAAUUUCUGGUGAUAUGGUUUGGCUGUGUCCCUACCCAGAAUCUCAUCUUGAAUUAUAUUCCCCAUAAUCCCCACGUGUCAAUGGCAGGACCAGGUAGAGGUAAUUGGAUCAUGGGGGCAGUUUCCCCCAUGCAUUUCUCUUGAUAGUGAAUGAAUCUCAUGAGAUCUGAUGGUUUUAUAAAUAUCUGGCAUUUCCCCUGCUUGCACUCACUCCAUUCCACUGCCCUGUGAAGCAUGUGCCUGCUUCUCCUUUGCCUUCCGCCAUGAUUAUAAGUUUCCUGAGGUUUCCUCCCUAGCAAUACAGAACUGUGAGUUAAUUAAACCUCUUUCCUUUAUAAAUUACCCAGUCUCAGGUGUUUUUUCAUAGCAGUAUGAGGACUGAUAUAUCUGGGUACUUAACAUUGGUUUUCGUCUGUGGUUUUUUACAUAUACUUAGGGCUGCCAUGUACAGCUAUAUGUACUUCACGACACAAUUGCAGGGAGAGCCAUUCAUGUAAAUGACAAUGUCUGUGGUUCUCCCUGGAGCUGUGCAGUGAGGCAGCCUACUACACUUACCAUCACUUCUGUGGUGCUGGUUAGUUUAAUUGGCAUUACUAUUUAAAUUGUCUUGAUUCAACUGAGUAUUUAAGAGUCUCAUGUUAACUUCCAAGAGAAUUCCUCUUUAGCCUCUGUGCCAUGAAAUUUUGUGUCUGUGUGGAUUAAUUUGGAUAUAUAGAAAGGGGACAGAUAUUCAGUCAGUAUUUAAAACAUGAAAAACAUACAAUUUAAGAUUUAAAUAUACCAUCAAUUUGGAAAUAACAUUCUUUUUUUUUCAUGCUUAAUCUCUGAUAAUUAGGGAUUAUCAGAUAGCAACUGGGCAUUCUACAAUUCAGUCAUAUUGUGACAUUACUCAGUUAACAUCAAACUCUGUAAGGGCUCACUCAGUCCCACAAAACUGCCCUCACUUCAGGCACCAAUCACAAGUCCUGGGUCCCCAGGCCACCCCACCUCUGUCUGACUUUGCUACCAAUUCAGGGCUUCCCAUAACCUUCUCUGAGGUUUGAUAAUUUGCCAGAAUGACUCAUAAAACUCAGGAAAACUCUUUGCUUGCAUUCACUGGUUUAUUAUUAAAGGACACAAUUCAGGAACAACCAGAUGGAAGAGAUGAAUAAGGCAAGGUGUUGGUUGGUGGGUCAGGGAGUUUCCAUGCCAUCUUUAGCAUGCUGCCCUCCCAGCACUUUGAUGUGUUCAACAACCCAGGAACUCACUGAAUCCCAUUGUUUAGGGGUUUUUAUGGAGGUUUCAUUACAUAGGCGUGAUUGACUAAACCAUUGGCCAUUGGUGAUAGAAUUCAAUCUCCAACACCGUUCCUGGGAGGUCAAGGGGUAUGGCUGAAAGUUCCAUCCCUUUAAUCAAGGCUUGGUCUUUCUGGUGAUCAGCCUCUGUCAUGAAGCUAUCUAGGUCCUCCUACCACUACAGUCACCUUAGCAUAAACUCAAGUAUGAUUGAUUGGGGCUUAUUAUGAAUAACAAAAGAUGCUCCUAUUACUCAGGAAAUUCCAAGGAUGUUAGGAGUUUUGUUCCAGGAAUGAGGGACAAGGACCAAAUAUAUGUAUUUUUAAUUAUAUCACAUUUGAAUAUUCUGAACAGUUUGCAGUAGUAUAAUGUUUUAAAAAACUAGAAAAACUCAACAAUAGAGGAUUGAUAUUAAAACAAUGAAAUAAUAUAUAUCCAUUAGAAAGGAGUAUUUUUUUUUUUUUUUUUUUUUUUUUAGACAGAGUCUCUCUGUUGCCCAGGCUGGAGUGCAGUGGCGCCAUCUCGGCUCACUGCAACCACCACCACCUGAGUUCAAGUGAUUCUCCUGCCUCAGCCUCCUGAGUAGUUGGGACUACAGGCGCCUGCCACCACACCCAGCUAAUAUUUUUUGUAUUGUCAGUAGAGACAGAGUUUCACCAUGUUGGCCAGGAUGGUCUUGAUCUCCUGACCUCGUGAUCUGCCUGCCUCGGUCCCCCAAAGUGCUGGAAUUACAGGUGUGAGCCACUGCACCCGGCCAGAAAGGAGUUUUAAUAAACAGUUUUGAACUUGAUUAGCAAUUUCAGCAGUUUCCAAAUGGAAGUAUUCGUUGGUAGAAAAUCUACCAGCAGGAGAAGAGAAUUAUAGAAAGCUGCCAACACAGUACAGGCAGUCUGCAAUUUAUGAAAGAGUUGUAUUCUAAAAGUUGGCUGUUUGAAAUUCUGAACACUUUCCCAAAGAAACAAUGUUGUAAAUACUCUGGGCCCAAGUCAGGCUAGAACAGCCUUAAUUUUACCCAUGGAAUUCUUGGUAUACAUGUAGUAUCCACACUUCUAUUUAUGACAGUUUUGAGUCAACUGCGUCUUCAGUUUCAGCUAGAACCAUCUAAAACUGAUCUUCCUUCAGUAGAGUUGGGAAUUCGGAGAAUAUGUUAAGCAUAGCAUAGCUUCAGAUAUUAAUUAAACUUCUGGCCAAUGGCAACGUGUUAACUAAAUCUUCAGAACAGAAGAUAGAUUUCUACACCUGCCCUUAACUCCAAGAUUAUAGGAUGGAAAUAAGAUUUCCUUCAGAAGUUAAGAACUGCUUGUCAUUGUCAUAUUUAUUUAUUUAUUUUUAAUCCUAAAAGCAAUACAUAUCCAUUUAAAAAUAAUUAAAAGUAGAGGUAGUAUGCUCCACUUGCUGUUAAAUCAUUUAGAAAAUUGUUUUUGUGUACACAUACAACACAGCUAGAACAAGUGUGGCUAAAAAAAGCAAUGCAGUUGGUAAAUAAAGAUGAAGGUUUGUUAGGUUGUUCAUAUUCUUUUAACUUUCUGUAAGUUUGAAAAUUUCAAAACAAAAUGGUGGCGAUUUUUUUAAAAGUAACAGGAGUAUUCGCUUAUCUUCAAUCCCCAACCUCAUUCUCCUCUCCAGAGUUAAAACCUCUGCUAGCAGUGUAUAUAGAUUUUCAAGUGUCUUUUCAAGCAUGUUUUUAAAAUCCAUUUACAGAAAAUUUUUUUUGCACAAACGGAAUCACAGUAUAUAUAGAAUCAUACUACAGUCACCAGUCAAGGGGUUUUGUCCAAGACCCCAAGAGCAGGUUCUUGGCUCUCAUGCAGGAAAGAAUUCAGGGCAAGCCACAGAGUAGAGUGAAGUUAAAAUGAUUUACUACAGACUACUGAAUUACAGAAUAGGGCAUCCUCAGAGAGCAAGAGGAGGGUGCACCCAUUUCAAUAUAAUGCUAAUAUGGGUUAUUAAGAAAAGUGUACUUUGGUCAGGCGCAGUGGCUCACGCCUAUAAUCCCAGCACUUUGGGAGGUCAAGGCGGGCGGAUCACCUAAAGUCGGGAGUUUGAGACUAGCCUGACCAACAUGGAGAAACCCCGUCUCUCGUAAAAAUACAAAAUUAGCCGGGCGUGGUGGUGCAUGCCUAUAGUCCCAGCUACUUGGGCGGCUGAGGCAGCAGAAACGCUUGAACCCGAGAGGCGGAGGUUGCGGUGAGCCGAGAUUGCGCCAUUGCACUCCAGCCUGGGCAAUGAGCGAAACUCCAUCUCAAAAAAAAAAAGAAAAGGAAAA